rnacentral:rRNA from 1 species
GAUGAACGCUGGCGGCGUGCCUAAUACAUGCAAGUCGAGCGAACAGACGAGGAGCUUGCUCCUCUGACGUUAGCGGCGGACGGGUGAGUAACACGUGGAUAACCUACCUAUAAGACUGGGAUAACUUCGGGAAACCGGAGCUAAUACCGGAUAAUAUAUUGAACCGCAUUGUUCAAUAGUGAAAGACGGUUUUGCUGUUACUUAUAGAUGGAUCCGCGCCGCAUUAGCUAGUUGGUAAGGUAACGGCUUACCAAGGCAACGAUGCGUAGCCGACCUGAUAGGGGGAUCGGCCACACUAGAACUGAGACACGGUCCAGACUACUACGGGAGGCAGCAGUAGGGAAUCUUCCGCAAUGGGCGAAAGCAUGACGGAGCAACGCCGCGUGAGUGAUGAAGGUCUUCGGAUCGUAAAACUCUGUUAUUAGGGAAGAAAAAAUGUGUAAGUAACUAUGCACGUAUUGACGGUACCUAAUCAGAAAGCAACGGCUAACUACGUG